AUGAGCGCCUGUCCAAUCCACUCCUUUUCCCUCAGCGCGAGCCGCCAUGCGUCUUCCGGCGCGGUCGGCAUGGAUCCGGGCUAUGUGGAGACGGCACGGCGCAGGCGCUCUGAAAGAGAAGUCAGCCGCUGGUUCCGGUAGUCGGAACGGCGGCUUUUUUA
rnacentral:ncRNA from 1 species